GGCAGGAUGGCGUAGUGGUUAACGCAUCCGCCUAGUGAGCAGGAGACCUAGGUUCGAAUCCUGGUCUUGGUA